rnacentral:lncRNA from 1 species
GGUUAUCCUGUACAAGGGGAAACUAAUGUGGAACACUGGUGUCAUCUUGUAUCUAUCUGAAAUAUAACAGUCUCCAUUCAUACAUUCUUCAUUAUACAGCAAAACGUACAGAAACAAUAUUAUAAUGACUUGAAACAAACUUUUGUUUGUAAUAUUACUGAUAUCACCUGAGUAAGUGCAGCAGAACAUAUUUGUACUUUUCUCACAGUGCGCUUACUUUUUAGGUGACUCAGAUUUGGGCAUUGCCUUCUUAUAACAGAUGGCUGAAUGGUUAUUCAAGAUGCUAAUUAGUCUUUUACAUUUUCCAGCUAACCUUACAUAGACACAUUCCUUUGAGAGAUGAUUACUCUGUGGUUUUAAAUAGUAGCAUAUAUUUGCUAAGAGACUUCCUUAACGAGCCCUUUAUAAACAAUAAAAUUGUGAUUAACUGUGGUAUAGUAAACACAUGAUACCAGCAAGACAGUAAUUAACAGCACAGCGGCAUUUUAAAGGACUGAUUUACAUAUUUUAACAUUCUUUUACUGUAGGGGCUCUUCAGAUGGAACCAGGCAAUGCUUGUGGAAGUUCAGAAAAAGCUGCUAAAAUGAGGGACCUGUGGAAUUUCCAUCUGGAGACGGUCAUUUAUCAACAGGAGCAGUAGUGGAGGCUACUUAUUGCGAAGCAGUGAAAUGAAAUCAAUGGUGAGUGCCCAGUGAUAGUGCUCAACGUUAUAGAAAUUACAAAAAUGAUCUUCCUUUCUCAUUACAAUUUUCAAAGCCUUGCUGCCUUUCUUAAAUUGCUGUCAAGUAU